rnacentral:rRNA from 1 species
GACGAACGCUGGCGGCGUGCUUAACACAUGCAAGUCGAACGGUAAGGCCUUUCGGGGUACACGAGUGGCGAACGGGUGAGUAACACGUGGGUGAUUUGCCCUGCACUUCGGGAUAAGCCCGGGAAACUGGGUCUAAUACCGGAUAGGACUGCGCGGCGCCUGCCGUGUGGUGGAAAGAUUUCUCCGGGCAGGGUGGUCCCGGGGCCUAUCAGCUUGUUGGUGGGGUAAUGGCCUACCAAGGCGACGACGGGUAGCCUGCCUGGGAGGGCGACCGGCCCCACUGGGACUUAGACACGGCCCAGACUCCUACGUGGGGCAGCGGUGGGGAAUAUUGCACAAUGGGCGCGAGCCUGAUGCAGCGACGCCGCGUGAGGGAUGACGGCCUUCGGGUAGUAAACCUCUUUCGGCAGAGACGAAGCGUGAGUGACGGUACCUGCAGAAGAAGCACCGGCCAACUACGUG